rnacentral:rRNA from 1 species
CCUACGGGAGGCAGCAGUGGGGAAUUUUGGACAAUGGGCGCAAGCCUGAUCCAGCCAUGCCGCGUGCAGGAUGAAGGCCUUCGGGUUGUAAACUGCUUUUGUACGGAACGAAAAGGUCUUUUUAAUAAAGAGGGCCCAUGACGGUACCGUAAGAAUAAGCACCGGCUAACUACGUGCCAGCAGCCGCGGUAAUACGUAGGGUGCAAGCGUUAAUCGGAAUUACUGGGCGUAAAGCGUGCGCAGGCGGUAAUGUAAGACAGAUGUGAAAUCCCCGGGCUCAACCUGGGAACUGCAUUUGUGACUGCAUUGCUGGAGUGCGGCAGAGGGGGAUGGAAUUCCGCGUGUAGCAGUGAAAUGCGUAGAUAUGCGGAGGAACACCGAUGGCGAAGGCAAUCCCCUGGGCCUGCACUGACGCUCAUGCACGAAAGCGUGGGGAGCAAACAGGAUUAGAUACCCUGGUAGUCCACGCCCUAAACGAUGUCAACUGGUUGUUGGGUCUUCAUUGACUCAGUAACGAAGCUAACGCGUGAAGUUGACCGCCUGGGGAGUACGGCCGCAAGGUUGAAACGUUAAAUGAAUUGACGG